GUGAGGAAUUUUCCGCAAUGGGCGAAAGCCUGACGGAGCAAUGCCGCGUGAAGGAUGAAGGCCUAUGGGUUGUAAACUUCUUUUCUCAGAAAAGAAUUAUGACGGUAUCUGAGGAAUAAGCAUCGGCUAACUCUGUGCCAGCAGCCGCGGUAAGACAGAGGAUGCAAGCGUUAUCCGGAAUGAUUGGGCGUAAAGCGUCUGUAGGUUGUUUAAAAAGUAUUCUGUCAAAGAUUAGGGCUUAACGCUAGAUAGGCAGAAUAAACUUUUAAGCUAGAGUUUGGUAGAGGCAGAGGGAAUUCCCGGUGGAGCAGUGAAAUGCGUAGAUAUCGGGAGGAACACCAAAGGCGAAGGCACUCUGCUGGGCCAAUACGAACACUGAGAGACGAAAGCGAGGGGAGCACAUGGGAUUAGAAACCCCAGUAGUCC
rnacentral:rRNA from 1 species